AGCCGGUUAGCUCAGUCGGUAGGGCACUUGCCUUGAAAGCGAGAGGUCCCGGGUUCGAACCCUGGAUUGACUG
rnacentral:tRNA from 1 species